rnacentral:ncRNA from 2 species
UAGUAUCUGCCACAAGCUGGUGCUAUCUAGAAGUAUAGAUGGCUGAAAAGGGAAUCCGGUGUGAAUCCGGAACUGACGCGCAGCGGUAAAAGAGAACAAACGCCCAUUUGACACUGCAUUUCGGAAAAAUGCGGGAAGUCGGGUUAGUAGGUUAACAGCUCUUGAGUCCGAAUACCUGCCAGCAACCGAGUAUUAAU